UCCGUAGGUGAACCUGCGGAAGGAUCAUUAAUCUAUACCAUCGGGGGGCCGGCCUUGGAGAUUGCGGCACCCAUCAGGGAAGCCCUCUCUCCUCCCCGCCCUGUCUGAAUAUACCCAUGAUUUUUGCGUACCCAUUGUUUCCUCGGCAGGCUUGCUUGCCAGUAGGACAUUUUUUCAACCUUUUGUAAUUGCAGUCAGCGUCAGAAAAACUUAAUAGUUACAACUUUCAACAACGGAUCUCUUGGUUCUGGCAUCGAUGAAGAACGCAGCGAAAUGCGAUAAGUAGUGUGAAUUGCAGAAUUCAGUGAAUCAUCGAAUCUUUGAACGCACAUUGCGCCCCUUGGUAUUCCAUGGGGCAUGCCUGUUCGAGCGUCAUUUGUAUCUUCAAGCUUUGCUUGGUGUUGGGUGUUUGUCCUGCUCUAUGCGUGGACUCGCCUUAAAUCAAUUGGCAGCCGGUAAUCUGGUGUUAAGAGCGCAGCACAUUGUGCGCUCCUCGCUGUGUAUUGCGGCGUCCAUUAAGCCUAUAUCUUUUUGCUCUUGACCUCGGAUCAGGUAGGGGAUACCCGCUGAACUUAAGCAUAUCAAUAAGGCGGGAGGGGAAGGUCGGACUGGCCAAGGGCACACAGGGGGGGAUA
rnacentral:rRNA from 1 species